UGUUACAAUAACGCGCAACGUACAUAUCCUAAUAACUAAAUCUGUCCGAAACAGAUUUUGCCAGACGCCUGCUGCAGGAGUUGAUGACAAACUGAUGUCAAAAUUAAUACAAAUUCUGCAAUAUCAGAUGAUGUUGGCAGAAUGCCAGCAACAUUGAAACAAAAUUUGAUACAGAAGUUUGAUAUCAGAUUGACGUCAACAUUUGAAUAGAUUCUGUUAAGCAGCCUGACGGCAGAUUGACGGCAGAAAGGAAACAGAUCCUGCCUUGCGUAGUCUGACGGCAGAUUGGCGGCAGAAUUCAAACAAACGCGGUUUAAUACUAUGACGGCAGAUUGGCGGCAGAAACGUAACAGAUCCUGACGUACGCAGUCUGGCGGCAGAUUGACGACAGAAAUACAACAGAUUCUGCAGUGCGCAGUCUGGCACCAGAAUGACGGCAGAAAUGUAACAGAUCUUGUUGUUCACAGCCUGACAGCAGACUGACAAAACGAGACAGCCAAUCAGAUUCACAAUGGUGUUUACC